AAUUUUACGGGUCGCGUCGUGAUGUGUGUUUAAAGUUGAGUCAGCUAAGGAAAAGUGCCAAGUUCCGUAUAGCUACUAGUUUCGUGCGUGCGUUUUAGUAUUGUGCAGGUUUGUGGCAUACUGCGAAACCCCACACAUCGCACCCCAAAGCCAACGAUCGCUUCUGACCCCACCGUCAGCUACGAGAGUUUCCCGGAAGUACGUCGACCGGAGAGGGCUUGCGUACGUUUCAUCGCGCCCUAGGCAGAGGUUGCAGUCAUCCGAGUUCAUCGUCAAAUUGCGCCAACUGUCGGUAGUUCAUCGACGCCGCCGCGUGAAGCCCACAGACCGGAGGGAAUCAUCUGCAUCCACGUCAUCGACGCGAACAUCAAUCAACGCGUCCGUUCGAAUGAACGACCGUUUGUUUCCCGUAAAAUCCCCUUCAAGCGUACGUAAACCGUGAGUAAAUCAUGCAUGAUUAAUAAGUAAG